AAUGAACGCUGGCGGCACGCUUUAUACAUGCAAGUCGAAUGGGUUUAGGCCCAUGGCAAACGGGUGAGUAACGCGUAGGAAUUUACCUUUCAGAGGGGGAUAAUCUCGGGAAACUGAGGAUAAUACCGCAUAUUCUUGGAAACAAGGAAAGAUUUAUCGCUGAAAGAUAAGCCUGCGUCAGAUUAGGUAGUUGGUAAGGUAAAGGCUUACCAAGCCGAAGAUCUGUAGUUGGUCUGAGAGGAUGAUCAACCACACUGGGACUGAGAUACGGCCCAGACUUCUACGGAAGGCAGCAGUAGGGAAUAUUGGACAAUGAACGCAAGUUUGAUCCAGCGAUGCCGCGUGAAUGAUGAAGGCCUUCGGGUCGUAAAAUUCUUUCAUUUGCUAUGAUAAUGACAAGCAAAAUAAGAAGCUCCGGCUAACUCCGUGCCAGCCGCCGCCGUAAAAC
rnacentral:rRNA from 1 species